rnacentral:rRNA from 1 species
UACGAAGGGGGCUAGCGUUGUUCAGAAUUACUGGGCGUAAAGCGCACGUAGGCGGAUUGGUCAGUUAGGGGUGAAAUCCCAGGGCUCAACCCUGGAACUGCCUUUAAUACUGCCAAUCUAGGGUUCGAGAGAGGUGAGUGGAAUUCCGGGUGUAGAGGUGAAAUUCGUAGAUAUUCGGAGGAACACCAGUGGCGAAGGCGGCUCACUGGCUCGACACUGACGCUGAGGUGCGAAAGCGUGGGGAGCAAACAGG